AUCAGCAGUAAUCAUAAUCAUUGGCCUUAAUCGGGAAAAGAAUAAAUAAUCAUUGGCCUUAAAACUUAUGAAUAUGAAGCAUCAUAGCUCGGGCUUUACUUGGGGCAACCACAUUCCUCUAUCAUAAGGUUUUUGCUAUCUAGGGUUUUAGAUUCAAAUUUCCAGGCAUUUGAUUUUCUAUUGAAGAAGCCAACUUGGAAGUGGGAACUAUUUGAUUUCAUGGAUAAAAAAUUGACUCUUCUACAAACGGUUGCAGCUGCAGGAGUUUUCUCCACUAUUUCAUUCUGGUAUGGAUUCAUGUUUGGAAGAGAAUCAUCACGGAAAGAACUUGAAAAUGUAAUCCAAGAUCUUCGUCGCGGUAAUACUAAUCAAAACGAAACUCCACCUCAGUGAUUGAAGAAAUUUUCCCCAAAUCUUUUUCAUAACGGUGAAGAAGGUGUUCUAGUUUCUUCUUUGGUUUCGGUUGCAACUUUUGGCCACAAAACGAGAUAUUUCUCUCUCCUUGACUCGGAUCGUUCACAAUUCUAUUCAUUGAUUUGAUGUGAUUGGACAAGUCUAAGUUCUAACUCCAAAUUUCAAUCUAAUCCAUCUAAUUUGAAUGGUAGAGAAUUAUGACAAGAAUAAUAAUUUUUUCUUGUUUGGUUUAAACAUUUCAAAAUAUCAAACCAUUGGGUGAUUUAGAUUUCU